CCUCAAGGUUACAACAGAGACUGGGGAGAUGGAUCAGUCAGGCAAGCACCGCCUUGCAUGUGUGAGGACCGGAGUUCAUAUUCCUGGAAACCAUGAUGAAAUUCCUGAAAGUCACUCCUGCCUGGGACCUGUUUGUUCCUUGUUCUUUCUGAGACAAAAUGAUCUUGGAAAGCAAUAUCUCUUCUGAAUCAGUUCCUGCCUCCAAGUUCUUGCCUUGAGUUCCUGCCCUGGUUUCCCUUCAUGAUGGACUAUAAACUGGAAGACAAAUAAACCCAUCCUCCCCAAGUUGCUUUCCGUCAUGGUGUUUUAUCACAGCAACAGAAACCUAACACAGCAUGGUUAAGCAUUUAAAAUUAAAAUAUAAUUUCAAGAA